rnacentral:rRNA from 1 species
UACGUAGGGUGCGAGCGUUGUCCGGAAUUACUGGGCGUAAAGAGCUCGUAGGUGGUUUGUCGCGUUGUCCGUGAAAACUCACAGCUUAACUGUGGGCGUGCGGGCGAUACGGGCAGACUGGAGUACUGCAGGGGAGACUGGAAUUCCUGGUGUAGCGGUGGAAUGCGCAGAUAUCAGGAGGAACACCGGUGGCGAAGGCGGCUUACUGGGUCUCAACUGACGCUGAGGCACGAAAGCGUGGGGAGCGAACAGG